rnacentral:rRNA from 1 species
GCGGGUUAGAGAUGGUGUCGUCAGCUCGUGCCCUCGGGUGCGGGUCAUACUUCGCUACUCUGCCUGCGGGUAUCUUUCCGGCGUGGGGGGCUGCACUUCUCGCCUAGUAGGACGUCGCGACCCGUUGGGUGCCGUUCCAUGGCCCGUGGUGGAGGCCGUGCCGGAGCGUCGUUUCGGCGGCGUUGCUGUUGCACGGACCCGCGGUGACCUGAACGGCUGUCCGACGGUAGCAAAGCAUUGGGAAGGGACCGCACAGAAGGCUGCGUCCGACGCUCGCUCUCAGAGCUACGCUCGGACAGGUCCGUACCCGGUCAGCGGCGCUUCUGCUUCCGGUACUCGUCCGACCCGUCUUGAAACACGGACCAAGGAGUCUAACAUGUACGCGAGUCAUUGGGCUCUGCGAAACCUAAAGGCGAAAUGAAAGUAAAGGCUAGGCNCUUGUGCCAAGCUGAGGGGUGAUGGCCGUCCCUUCUGUGGACGGCCCGCAACCCCGGGGCGUCGCGUUCUCUUUGAGAAGUGGCGCACCCAGAGCGUACACGUUGGGACCCGAAAGAUGGUGAACUAUGCCUGGCCAGGACGAAGUCAGGGGAAACCCUGAUGGAGGUCCGUAGCGAUUCUGACGUGCAAAUCGAUCGUCGGAGCUGGGUAUAGGGGCGAAAGACUAAUCGAACCAUCUAGUAGCUGGUUCCCUCCGAAGUUUC